ACAGGCCAAGGAAAUGUCCAACAGAAAAUUCACUUACUGACUACAACAAGACAAACCUAUCCCAUAUUUAGGAUCUGGUCACAUGACAUUAAAAAAAAAACAACACUGAUGGAAUGAAUAAGAAAAAAGAGUGCUGAGAUCUCCCUCAGCCACACUGGUUAUCAUGACAUGAAAAUUGUAGCAGUCAUCAGCACCUUCACCACACCUGAACCAUCUCUGCCACUUAAAAGCUUGUAAUAUGUCACAAAGAACUGAAAACUAAUCCUCUAAAGAUAAGGUGUGCACAGUGGCAUUAAAAAAAAAAAAAGAGAGAGAGAGAAAAAUAACUGAGACUUGACAGCUUCCCUAGGCAAGCCCAGAAACAGUAUGAACAAGGAGCUGGAACCCUACGAACACCAGAUGAAAUGAAGGGCAGUCCCAGAGCCCAGGAAGUAUCUAGUCUGGCUGGCAAGUGGAAAAACAGGCACUGGGAAGCCAUCCCCAGGACAGGUGGCCUUAGAACCAGCAUUCCUCCUCCUUCCUCAAAAUUACUGGGAGUGUGAAGGCAAAGCCUGACUUUUCUAACAGGAGAACAGCAGUGGAAAGACAAGACGACACUGUCGUCAGAAACACCAAAAAAACCAGCUUAAUUUUCCUUAGUUCAACAACAAGCCGCACAGUUUCUUGGCAUGCUGGUUGUAAUUUAGUCACUGUGCACCAAACAGAAACACCUCCCUUUCCUCUUCACAUGGUGUUAGCCUGUGAACGCUUUCAUGCUGCCUGAGGUACAAUAAGGGUCAAAUGACAGGGAUAAACAUCUAUGAAACCGGGCCUCUGCCCCUCAGCCCUACUCUCAGGAUCACUACUCUCCAGAGAUAGCAGAGAUCCAAAGAUCAAAUCUGUCCUAAUUUCUUAUCCGGACACUCAAUUGAUCUCCAGCUAUUCUUUGUGCACUGCCACGUGUGGCCUGACUUCACUUUCAGCCACACAUUCAGUAGCUGGAGGAAGAAAACACUUAGGACAGCAAUCCCAAAUCAGCCCUCUCAUCCUCAGAGUGAAAAAGCCACCACCAGGCCUCAAGGAUCUCACAGAGCCUCCAACGGACCCAGCACAGCUACUCAGAGGACACCAGGCCCUCUCCUCCCCACUGCUCUCCUUUGGGGAUCAGGGCAGAUGGGACAUACCUCCUCCAUGCUGCAGGGAGAGAGGUGAAGGACAGCAAAGGAGAACUCACAUCACCUUUGAAAUUCAACAGUUCGUUAUUGAUUGCAUGUCCCUAGGCUGCCUGUGGGGCAUUAGUAUCCACUGUCCCCUCUCCACUACUGUUGGGCAACAGGCUGCCUCCACUUGCAGGCAGCCAGGUAGGGGACUCUCCUGGCAUGAUCCUGCAACUCAUCAGUACUAACGGAUUUGAGGCACAGGAUGAAGAAGGGGCUGGAGUCUCCACAGGGCCUUUUGCCCAAGGGCCACAAAUUCUCUCUGGCAAGCACAAUGCAACAGAUGAGCCCUUCCCUGAAUAGGGUCCCUCAGUACUCCAAGUCCUUCCUUCUCCUUCAAAACUGGGGCAACUCUCAGACCAUAGGCCCCAACUCCAAAAACUGUCGUUUUGGGGGUUGCCAUGGAACACUGCUGAUGUCACUGCCUCGCCCUCCAACUGCCAUACCAGCAGCAGAGGAGCAAGAGGCAGGAGGGCAAAAGGCUCCAAGUACAAAUGGAUUCUCCUCCCCAGAAAAAGAGAAGGCUGAUGGGGAGGAGACAAAAAGAGGAGCCGAUGCAAGUAGAUGAAGAAUCUACUGAGCCCAUGGAGGUGGAUGAGCCUCAAUAUGAAGAGCAGCCAAUGGAGGUGGAUUCACCUCCCGAAGACCAACUGCCAAUGGAGGUGGAUCCACCUCAAUGCGGGCUCAAGAGACAGCGCCCGAGGAGCCUCAGGAACACCAUAAGAAAACGGCGCGAGAAGCUCCUGAAGAAAUCCCGGAGUCGAAGAAAGUAGGAGUCCUGCCAGAAAAGUUGAAUUCCAUCUCAACUCUUAUGGAUGGCAGCAAGAGCUGACAGCACUCACGAUGCACAUCGAUCUCCGAAGAGGAUGCUCCCAUAACACCGGAAAACUUUCUCUCCUACUCCUACACCCUUCUUGGACUGUUUUUAUUUUGUCUCAGUUAGGAAGCAGUAGCA